AACGAACGCUGGCGGCGCGCCUAAUACAUGCAAGUCGAGCGAGAAGACGUAGCAAUACGUUUGUAAAGCGGCGAACGGGUGAGGAAUACAUGGGUAACCUACCCUCGAGUGGGGAAUAACUAGCCGAAAGGUUAGCUAAUACCGCGUACGCUCCUUGGACUUCGGUUCAGGGAGGAAAGCGAUACCAUGGGUAUCGCGCUCUUGGAUGGGCUCAUGUCCUAUCAGCUUGUUGGUGAGGUAACGGCUCACCAAGGCUUCGACGGGUAGCUGGUCUGAGAGGACGAUCAGCCACACUGGCACUGCGACACGGGCCAGACUCCCACGGGAGGCAGCAGUAAGGAAUAUUGCGCAAUGGGCGAAAGCCUGACGCAGCGACGCCGCGUGGGGGAUGAAGGUCUUCGGAUUGUAAACCCCUUUCGGGUAGGGAAGAU
rnacentral:rRNA from 1 species